rnacentral:rRNA from 1 species
UACGGGGGGAGCAAGCGUUGUUCGGAAUUACUGGGCGUAAAGGGCGCGUAGGCGGCCUUGUAAGUCUCGUGUGAAAGCCCUCGGCUUAACUGAGGAUCUGCACGGGAUACUGCGAGGCUCGAGUUCGGGAGAGGAAAGCGGAAUUCCGGGUGUAGCGGUGAAAUGCGUAGAUAUCCGGAGGAACACCUGUGGCGAAAGCGGCGCACUGGACCACAUCUGACGCUGAGGCGCGAAAGCUAGGGGAGCAAACAGG